AUGUCAUCGGUGGCGCAUCAGGUGGAUAGGUUGCAAUGUCGGCAGCGGCCUGAGUUGAGUACAGCUGAAUCUGUCCAAGAAGGCCAUAUGGAGGCUUCCUUUCCAAUUGCUCCCGACUACGGCGCGAUAUCCGUCGACUUGAAGACGGCGCUCCACUUCCUCUCCCCACCAUCUACACAAGAAACGGAUCGAUUGCCCUUUGAAGUUUGCUCGGCUCACCUCAUUUCAUUCCCAUUGGUCUUCCAUCUCAGUCCUAAAUAUGUUUUGGUCUUCUUUGCAUUCCAAGAUUCACCUUAUUAUUUUGGUCACUUUUUCCAUUUGCCAUCUUACUCUUCCUGUUUUUUCAUCGUCUUUGAUUUUGCAUCAACAUGUCAUUAUGUGGCUACAGUCUACGGGCAAGAGAUUCAAAUUGGUACGCAUGAAGCUCAACAUUUGGGGCAUAAUAUGUGUAACCCUGUUGUAUUUUUCGCCUCUCCUAUUUUAUUUGACUACUUGCUUGCAAAGGUUAGGAUAUAUUUUUUAUCAUCAUUCUCAUUCCCGAGCCUUUGCUUUCAGAGAGAGCAGAAACCCAACAGUUCAAAAUCUGGAACCCUUGGUUAUAACAAACACCAGCUCCAUACAUUACAAGAAACUGGAGAAAUACAUACCAGUGUCCGAAGCCAAACGAUGAACAGCGCCCCCUUGAGUAACAUACAGGAGGAUGAGCGGCAGGUGGACAAAAUAGGCUCUGAUGAAACAACGUGUCACAUCAUCAGUUAG
rnacentral:rRNA from 1 species